rfam:Salmo salar isolate Sally breed double haploid chromosome ssa17, whole genome shotgun sequence.
UGCACACAUGACUGUAAGUCGAUUUGGAUAAAAGCGUCUGCUAAAUGGCAUUUA